CGUCCUUGUUUGUUACAUGGGUAUUACAGGUGUAAUGGUGGAGGUUUGGUUUCUAGUGUAUCCAUUAACCAAAUAUUGAACAUUGUACCCAAAAGGUAAUUUUUCAACCCCCACUUCCUUCCCAGCCUCUCCACUUUUGGAGUCCUCAUAGUUUUAUCUCUCCAUUUCUAUGUCCAUGUGUACCCAUUCUUUAGCUCCCAUUUAUAAGUAAGAAUAUGCGAUAUUCUGCUUCUGAAUUAGUUCACUUAGUGAGCAAAGCUGGAUGGCCUCCAGCUGCAUCCAUGUUGCUACACAGGACAUGAUUCAAUUCUUUGUUAUGGCUGCAUAGCAUUGCGUAUUCUAUAUGUACAACAUUUUCUUUGUCCAGUUAACUGUUCAUCGACCCUAUUUUGUUAGCAUUCCUCCCUUCUCUGUCUCCUUCCUCCACUCCCUCAGGGUGCUCCUGGGUCACCUUUCAAGUAUAUUCCCUGCCCCCAGUGCUAGCCUCAGGCUUCACUCUUUGGGAACACACUAAGACCACAGUGCAUUUGACUAUGAGUGAGGAUGAUCUUCCUACAUUUUCUAUGUGGCAAAGGCAAAUGGAAGCUUGAGGACAAAGGCAGAUCUCUGAGUUAAAAGGACACCUACAAGUCCUUCUCUGUGAGCUCAUCUUAGGGCAGAGCAGACUCAGAGAUGGGGAAGAGCCUCCAUUUACAUCCUGGCUGCUCCCAUUCCAUCACUUCCAUCACUCUGGAAUCUGUAGGGAAGCAGGCCAGUCCUCUGCCCUGAGGCUGAGGCAGGGGCGGUCCGGGCAGAACAGUUGCCAAGUUUCCGCCUCUGCAAGGCACACCAUGGUGAACAAAAAUGCCAAAUCCUCCUCCAGAUCCCCAGAAAGAGCCAGCUCUCCUGUUUGUCUCUCGUGGACUGCUGUGACCUGUGACCAGGACACUUGGAGGCAGCUUUUAACAACUCAGACCAGAUGAGUGAGCACAUUCUCACACAUGUCCCAUAUUUCCCAAGUCAGUAACCAGCCCCUUGCAGAAGGCUGGUGAUGCUUUACACCUUGGGGUCCUUCAGAGAAAUGGGUUUGUCGUACAGCGUAUCCUUUUCAACAUGGAUAAGCAUUUUAUUGUGCAUUAAUUCUAAUGUAACGUUAAUUGGAAAUAAUCCUUCUGGUGAGAAGAGCAUAAUUCUGCUGGCUUCUGGAGACUGGAAGAAGCUUUAGGACCCUCAAGGAGGAAGCCCUGUGGGAGGAGGAAGUGGCCAUCAUGAGCUUCAGCGAAGACGGCUCUGCAGGUUGCAUUGAACUUGCGGACAAGUCUCCACCCGACUACCCCAACCUGGCAAUUAUGAUCUGCUUAUCAGGGGAGCAGUGACUUGACAGUCUGUCUCAGUUUACUUGUCUAUAAAAUGGUUAUGAAUAAUCAUAUUGGCCUCAUAGGGUUAUAGUGAGAAUUAUAGCCACUGGCAGAGAGCACCCAGCCAGCCCCAUUCCUGGAGAAAAGCAGAAGUUUAGUUCUUGGAAAAGUUGCAUAUAGAUUCUUAAAGAAAUGAUGUCACAGGGACUUCCUUGCUAUCCCUAAAAACCAGGGACCUGUUUUUAAGUCAGUGACCCAGCCUGCUACAGUGGAAUCCCAGUUUUAGGAUAAUGUGAGGUCAGCUUUCCUCACUCCAUUGCAUGCCAGGGCCCACCCUUGGGUUUUAGGCUUGAAAAAGUUAUAGUUACCAAUAUCCUCCUUCAGUGACUUUCCAUGGCUUGGAGAAGACAGUCCAGAUCCCCAUCCUGCAGCAUAAGGGCCCUGUGUGACCUGCCACCACUCAGUCAUCUGCAGAAGGCUGGUGCCUGUGCACUCUAUGUUCUGCUGAUCGAGGUGCCCUCACCUUUCCCAACACAUCAUGUGGGGACACGCCCUAUCUGUGUGCACAGGGAAUGCUGUGGAAUGUAUGUAGAGCACCCUCCCUCAUCUCCUUGGAAUGCUUCUAUCAUCUCUCAAGAUGCAAUUCACCUUGUCUGGGAAACCCUUUUGAAUCCCGCAGCAGUUAUCUGCUCACUCCUCUGACCUGUGCACACACCUCUGAGAUUGUACCAUGCACUGUGUGGGAGCAGUCUUCUCCUAGCAUUCUUCUCUAAUAGGGAACUCUGCCUUCCCACCUUCUAUACCUGGCACACGGACAGUGCUAUAAAUGUUGGUUGAAUAUAGAAAUUGGUAGGAGGAGAUCUGGAGUCAGGGCUCAGUGCUCCUGGGGAUGGCUCAACUCCUGUUCUCAGGCAGAAUGAAAUCCCUAGCAAACUGCAGAGCAACCAAGGAGAAAACCUAUCUCAGAAGUUAGCGCCCCCAACACACUGAAGUCUUGGAUCAAGCAUUUACCCACCUGCUAGAGAUCAGUGGCUCUGGAGGAAGCAGCACGUAGACCUUUGUUCCUGGGCAACACUAACCCGCGGCAUACCUGAGGAAAUGUGAACCUGUUAUCUGCUAGUUUUUGAGAUCCCCUUUACCUCCACCUGGUGGGGAACGAGGCAUCCCCUGCUGUCUGUUUUUUGCCCUCUUGAUACCUGGAUUCUUCUACCAGAAUUAAAUGUCUAGGAUUUCAGUAGAGACUUUUCAAGGGGCUGAGACCUUCUGAGCCUGAAGAGUGUUAUUCCUCUCUCUUGCUCUCAGCAGCUUGAUUUGUAGGUCAGUCUACCAUUUACUCUCCCACAAGGACUGGGGUAUAUUGUAUUAUUGUCCUUGUUCUUCACCCUCUAUGGCCUUCGCCAUGUGACUUUGAUGUACUUCCCACUUGAAUUGGGGCAUAUUUCCCAUACUUCUUGCCAUUGGGUGUAGUUAUAUGACUUGCUUGGGACAAUAGAAUGAGGUAUUUCUACUCUCCUCCCUGAACCUUUGCCAUGGCCAUGAGAACAUGCCAGCCUAGCUGCUGAUCCCAGGAGAAAGGUGAGAGACAUGUUGGGCAGAGCCAAGCCCCUAGACAGCCCAGCCUAGAUUAGCUGACUCUCAGUUAGCAGAGACCCUUGAGAAAUAACUGAUGACUGUUGUUAUAAGCCUUUGGAGUGGUUUGUUACAUGGCAUCAUUGAAGUGAUAGUUAACCAACUAAUAUUUAAAGAAAUUUUGGUCAUAAUAAUCUGAUGCCCAGUACACUGCCCUGUCCCCUUGGCAUGGGAAGCUCAUACCAAGAACAUCAACUUUGGCACACACACACAGCCCCCUCCCUAUGACAAAAUUGGAUAGCACAUGCUCCAGGGUUGUCUUCGUAAAAGACGUGUGUCCCUGUGAGAUGGAGUAACACUGACAACAGGAACUGAAGUGUUUCCAUCAACUUCUAAUUUCCAUUUCCCCUCCUCCCGCUCUCUCCCCUCUACAAGAGUCUAUAGUCUCCUGGUGAUGAACAACAACAACAACAUUCCUCAAAGAAACCUUUGUUUAACUCUCAACACAUCUGUUCUUCAUUUAUAGGAAUAAUGGCUAACAACAUUAGAGAGUUUACAUCUAUGUCCAGUACUGUGCACUUUUAUAAAUGAUUGUUCAUUAUUUGUAGAAUCCCUGUAAUGCUGGUGCUAAGUAAAGGUGACACUUUAAGUUCACCACAAUGUCUGCUCUGAGAGCAGAAAAUAAUGUCUUCAAGGCCACAUGUAGAUCCUUCAUCCGCAGUGCACUUACCCUGGUGUGGUGCUUUCUUUAAGAAACACUCUGAUUGGCCAAAGAAAUGCACAGUCCACAGUUCAGCUCUAGGAGCUUUGUAGUAUGGAUGGAGUGCAGGGUGAUAGUCCUCCACUUCUUUUCUGUAACCAAAAGAACAGGAUUUUUCUAAGUAGAUAUUUGGCAUAGAUGAUGGCAUCUUUUUUUCUACAAACAGAUUUUUACAACUUUUUCUCUUGUCUAGUUUUCAAAAGUAUUUGUAUACUCAUUCUUGAUUAAAAGUAAACUCUCAGAAAAUUAGGAAUAGAGGGGAACUUUCUCAACCCAAUAAAGAAUAUCUACCAAAACACUUCGUUGACAUUGUAUUUAAUGGUGAGACCCUAGAAUCUUUUCCAGUAAAAUAAGGAAGAAAGCAAGGAUGCUCCCUCUAACCACUCCUCUUCAGCAUCACACUGAAAUUCUUAGCUAAUGCAAUAAAACAAGCAAUAAAAGUGUACUGAUGAGGAAGGAAGAAAUAAAAUUGUCUUUGUUUUCAGAUGACGUAAUUGUCUAUUUAGAAAAUUCUCCCCCAAACAAAACAAAAAAAUUCUGGAUACUAAUACAUGAUUACACCAAGGUUGCAGGAUACAAGGCUGAUGUGUAAAAGUAAAUUGCAUUUUUUUUUUAACAAUAAGAAAGUUUAUUAAAAUCAGGUGAGUUCCAACAAAGGGUGGCUCUGGCUUACAUAGUACAUCAGUUCCAUGAUGGCUUCUUAUACUGAGGUUUUG
rnacentral:lncRNA from 1 species